GUGGGUACAGCUCAGUGGUAAAGCACAUGCCUAGUACCCACAAGGUCCUGGGUUCAAUUCCCAGCACUCCCA
rnacentral:tRNA from 1 species